GGUAUGGGAUGAGCUUGCGUCCGAUUAGCUAGUUGGCGGGGCAACGGCCCACCAAGGCGACGAUCGGUAGCCGGCCUGAGAGGGUGAUCGGCCACAUUGGGACUGAGAUACGGCCCAGACUCCUACGGGAGGCAGCAGUAGGGAAUAUUGCACAAUGGGGGAAACCCUGAUGCAGCAACGCCACGUGUGGGAAGAAGCAUUUCGGUGUGUAAACCACUGUCGUGAGGGAAUAAUACGCGUCUUCGGGCGCGGGAGAAUGUACCUUGAAAGGAAGCACCGGCAAACUUCGUGCCAGCAGCCGCGGUAAUACGAGGGGUGCAAGCGUUGUUCGGAAUCACUGGGCGUAAAGGGAGCGUAGGCGGAUGUUCAAGCGGAUUGUACAAUACCGGGGCCCAACCCCGGACCUGCAGUUCGAACUGGACAUCUUGGAUAGUUCAGGGGCAGGC
rnacentral:rRNA from 1 species